rnacentral:rRNA from 1 species
GAUGAACGCUGGCGGCGUGCCUAAUACAUGCAAGUCGAGCGAACAGACGAGGAGCUUGCUCCUCUGACGUUAGCGGCGGACGGGUGAGUAACACGUGGAUAACCUACCUAUAAGACUGGGAUAACUUCGGGAAACCGGAGCUAAUACCGGAUAAUAUAUUGAACCGCAUGGUUCAAUAGUGAAAGACGGUUUUGCUGUCACUUAUAGAUGGAUCCGCGCCGCAUUAGCUAGUUGGUAAGGUAACGGCUUACCAAGGCAACGAUGCGUAGCCGACCUGAGAGGGUGAUCGGCCACACUGGAACUGGGACACGGUCCAGGCUCCUACGGGAGGCAGCAGUAGGGAAUCUUCCGCAAUGGGCGAAAGCCUGACGGAGCAACGCCGCGUGAGUGAUGAAGGUCUUCGGAUCGUAAAACUCUGUUAUUAGGGAAAAACAAAUGUGUAAGUAACUAUGCACGUCUUGACGGUACCUAAUCAGAAAGCCACGGCUAACUACGUG